rnacentral:misc_RNA from 1 species
GAAAUGCGAUAAGUAAUGCGAAUUGCAGAAUUCAGUGAGUCAUCGAAUCUUUGAACGCAUAUUGCGCCCUUUGGUAUUCCGAAGGGCAUACCUGUUCGAGCGUCAUUAUCAACCAUCAAGCACUGCUUGGUAUUGGAUGCAACUAGCUUGUGGUGCAUCUUAAAAGCAUUGGCGGCAGCAUUUAGCUUUUAGUGUAGUAAAUUUCUCGCUUUGGAGCUUAGAUGCCUGCCUGCCAGAACUAUUAUUUCAAAAGGUUGACCUCGGAUCAGGUAGGGAUACCCGCUGAACUUAA